AUGGCCAGCUAUCUGUAUGGGCAGGGCUGCCCUGGAGAUGCAGGACAAGUGCCAGGAACCCCUCCGGGUAGCUACUACCAUGAACCCCUCAAUAGUGGACACCAGUAUGGCAGCGCGCUACCCCCUGGUGAUGGUUAUGGGGGUCCUGCCCCUGGAGGGCCUUAAGGACUACCAGCUGGUAGAGGGCCCUAUGGACACUUCAAUCUUGGGAUGUUCCCCUCUGGAACUCCAGGAGGACCAUAUGACGGUACAGCUCCAGGGGCCCCUAUGGUCAGCCACCUCCAAAUUCCUACAGUGCCCAGCAGCCCAGGCCUUAUGGACAGGGUGGCUCCCUUCCCAAUAUGGAUGAGGCCUACUCCUGGUUCCAGUUGGUGGACUCUGAUCACAGUGGCUUUAUCUCCAUGAAGGAGGUGAAGCAGGCUCUGGUUAACCGCAACUGAUCUUUGUUCAAUGAUGAGACCUGCCUCAUGAUGAUAAACAUGCUUGACAAGACCUAAUCAGGUCACAUCAAUGUCUACGGCUUCUCAGCCCCAUGGAAAUUCAUCCAGCAGUGGAAGCAGCUCUUCCAGUAGUUAUGACAGGGACCACUCAGGCUCCAUUAGCUACACAGAGCUGCAGCAAGCUCUCUCCCAAAUGUGCUACAACCUGAGCCCACAGUUUACCCAGCUACUGGUCUCCGGCUACUGUCCACGCUCUGCCAAUCCUGUCAGGCAGCUUUAUCGCUUCAUCCAGGUGUGCACCCAGCUGCAGGUGCUGACAGAGGCCUUCUGGGAGAAGGACACAGCUGUACAAGGCAACAUUUGGCUCAGCUUCAAGGACGUCGUCACCAUGACAGCUUCUCAGACGCUAUGACUCAACCCAUCUGUGGAGAAUGGAGUACACCAGGGACCUUUCCUGGCUUCCUAGAGUGAGAGAAGUACAUGGACCUCUCUCUCUUCUUUCCUUGUCCCUCUUAGAAGAACAUCUCCCUUGCUCGAUGCAACACUGUACCAAAAGAGGAUUGAGAGUCCUUUAUCAUAGCCACCAAAGAGUGAGAACCAGGGCUGAGGCCACACAGGUAGGGGCCUGAUGGAGGAGAGGAUGAAAGCUGAAUGUCCUGAUGGCCAUGAGCAGUUGAGAGGCACAGCCUGGCACCAGGAGCAGGAGAUUCUGGUCCCUGUAAUGGAGUUAGUGUCCAGUCAGCUGAGCUCCACCCUGAUGCCAGUGGUGAGUGUUCAUCGGCCUGUUACCAUUAGCACCUGUGUUCCCUCACCAGGCCAUCCUGUCACAUGAGCCCAUUUUCUCCAAAGUGGAAUCUGACCAAGCAUGAGAGAGCUCUGCCAAUGGGACCAGUGGCUUGGAUUCCACCACACCCAUAAAUCCUUGGGUGUUAACUUCUAGCUGCCUGGGGCUGGCCCUGCUCAGACAAAUCUGCUCCCUAGGCCUCUCUGGCCAGGCAGCCAGGCUGCUGCCUCCACAGCUGGGACCCCUCACUUGCCUGCCAUGCUCUGCUCGGCUUCGAUCUCCAGGGGACAGUGGUCACCUCUCCCUGCCAAAACUUUUUUUAAUUUGCAUUUUUUUCACUUCGGGCAAAAAGUUCAGUGAAAUUGUAAGCUUCAAUAAAAGCAUAAAACUAAAAA